UACGAAGGGGGCUAGCGUUGUUCGGAAUUACUGGGCGUAAAGCGCACGUAGGCGGAUAUUUAAGUCAGGGGUGAAAUCCCAGAGCUCAACUCUGCAACUGCCUUUGAUACUGGGUAUCUCGAGUAUGGAAGAGGUGAGUGGAAUUCCGAGUGUAGAGGUGAAAUUCGUAGAUAUUCGGAGGAACACCAGUGGCGAAGGCGGCUCACUGGUCCAUUACUGACGCUGAGGUGCGAAAGCGUGGGGAGCAAACAGG
rnacentral:rRNA from 1 species